rnacentral:rRNA from 1 species
UACAGAGGGUGCGAGCGUUGUCCGGAAUCACUGGGCGUAAAGGGCGCGUAGGUGGUGGCUUAAGCGUGCGGUGAAAGCUCGGGGCUCAACUCCGAGUCGGCCGUGCGAACUGGGCUCACUGGAGCAUAGUAGAGGCAGGUGGAAUUCCGGGUGUAGCGGUGGAGUGCGUAGAGAUCCGGAAGAACACCGGUGGCGAAGGCGGCCUGCUGGGCUAUGGCUGACACUGAGGCGCGACAGCGUGGGGAGCAAACAGG